CCCUUCACGUGGAGGUUCUGAAAGUAGGUGGCCUCCGCGGUGGCCUCAGAGUGGCUCUCCCUCAACUUGCGAAGUUCGCCCUCCAUCUCCUUCGCCCCUUUUGUUAAAUGACGAACUUUCUUAUUCAGACGUUGGAUCAUGGACUUCAGCGGAAUCCCCUGUGGCAGGGGAAGCGCUUCGACAGGGGAAGCACUUCGGCAGGACACUACCAUCGGGAGACAAAAGCGUCAAGGCGCAUC
rnacentral:lncRNA from 1 species